AUUUAACUUCGUAAGAAAAUCGUGAUCCAAGUUAGGAAGGAGAAGAGAAAAUGCGAUGUUAAUAUUGAGUAUUUGAUGAUUGUCGAGUGAGUGAGGGAGUGGAGUUCCUACGUGUACAAUCUGAUUUACAAGACGGAAAAAAAAGAAAAAGAAUGGCUAAAAGGGCUUACAGAAGGAGACAUCAAGUAAACACAUUAAAAAAUCAGACUGGCUUAACUAUUAAAAGUAACGUCACGAAACAUUAUGGUAAAUGAGAGACAUCACGCAAGAGAAACGAGUGUCUUUUUUACCGCAUAUAUUUUCGAACGAAUAAAUAUAAAGAUAAAAAUCGGUAAUUAA